rnacentral:sRNA from 1 species
GGACCAGGAGGGCUAUGUGGCUUCGACAUCCGUCACCCAUUGAUCACCCCGCUGAUCGCAGGGUUGAUUCGGUCAGCUGGGCUGGCUGCCUGGCAGGUGUUCCCGUCCCCCUCACUGCUCCAUGUGCAUCCCUCCUGAAGCUAUACUGGGGGAAGGGGACGAGGACCCCUUAGGGAAUAGAGGACAGAGAGUAGUGGGUAAGUGCUCCCUGCUACAACCUCCAGACAAGCUCUCAACUGAACUGGUAACACCCAAGGCUCAGCACAGCCUCUCUGUCUACCCACCCCGAAAAAGACAAACUCCAUUUG